GGAGAGGUGAACGCCGAGCCCGAGAGCCCGCCGCCUGUGCCAGGAUGGAGUUCGUCAAGUGCCUAGGCCACCCGGAGGAGUUCUACAACCUGGUGCGCCUCCGCAUUGGGAGCAAGCGGAAGGUGAUGCCCAAGAUGGACCAGGACUCGCUCAGCAGCAGCCUGAAAACUCGCUACACGUAUCUGAAUCAGACGAGUCGCAGUUUCGCAGCUGUUAUCCAGGUGCUGGAUGGGGAAAUGUGCAAUGCAGUGUGCAUAUUUUAUCUGGUCCUCCGAGCUCUGGACAUGCUGGAAGAUGACAUGACCAUCAGUGUGGAAAAGAAGGUCCCGCUGUUACACAACGUCCACUUCCACUCUUUCCUUUACCAGCCAGACUGGCGGUUCAUGGAGAGCAAGGAGAAGGACAGCCAGGUGCUGGAAGACUUCCCAACGAUCUCCCUCGAGUUUAGAAAUUUGGCUGAGAAAUACCAAACGGUGAUCGCUGACAUUUGCCGGAGAAUGGGAACUGGGAUGGCAGAGUUUUUGAAUAAGCAUGUGACCUCUGAACAGGAGUGGGACAAGUACUGCCACUAUGUUGCUGGGCUGGGAGGAAUUGGCCUUUCCCGUCUCUUCUCGGCCUCAGAGUUCGAAGACCCCUUAGUUGGUGAAGAUACAGAACGUGCCAACUCCAUGGGCUUGUUUCUGCAGAAGACAAACAUCAUUUGUGACUAUCUGGAAGACCAGCAAGAAGGAAGAGAGUUUUGGCCUCGAGGUUUGGAGCAGGUAUGUUAAGAAGCUUGGGGAUUUUGCCAAGCCGGAGAAUAUUGACUUGGCCAUGCAGUGCCUGAAUGAACUUAUAGCCAACGCGCUGCACCACAUCCCAGAAGUCAUCACCUACCUUUCGAGACUCAGAAACCAGAGCGUGUUUAACUUCUGUGCUAUCCCACAGGUGAUGGCCAUUGCCACUUUGGCUGCCUGUUACAAUAACCAGCAGGUGUUCAGAGGGGUAGUGAAGAUUCAGAAAGGGCAAGCAGUGACCCUGAUGAUAGAUGCCACCAACAUGCCAGCUGUCAAAGCCAUCAUCUCCACCAUCCUGACGCAGAAUCUUCCCAACUGUCAGCUGAUCUCCCGAAGCCACUACUCCCCCAUCUACCUGUCCUUCGUCAUGCUCUUGGCUGCCCUGAGCUUGCAGUACCUGACCACACUCUCCCAGGUCACGGAAGACUAUGUUUAGACUGGAGAACACUGAUCUCAAAUCUGUCAGGAAGCUGAAGUUCACCAUGAAAUGGAUUUACUUUUUUUCUUCAAGGAUGGAUGUUGGCUUCUACUUUCUUUCCUUUUACUUUAAUCCCUAAAAGAACUCUGUGUGGCUGGGACCUUUAGGAAACUGAAAUGCAGUUGAGAAGAAUAUAAACACAAAAGGAAAAAGAAAGGGUGGCUCACCGCAGCAACCUGUGCU